GGCGGGCCUCUGCCUCAGCCUGCUGAGGAUUGGCUGGUUUCUCCGCCAGCUUGAAAACCUUCUCGCUGUUUGGCGCGUAUUGUUCUCUAGUGUUUUCUUCCUUCCUUUUCAGCGGGGGAUCUCCAGUUGAAGAAGCGGCGGGUGAGGGGUGUCGGAGGUGUUCAGGUAAACCAGUGGGAGAAAGAUGUCUCCCCACAACUUUGAGUUCCACCUGCCCUUAUCUCCAGAGGAGCUGCUGAAAAGUAGAGGUGUGAAUCAGUAUGUUGUUCAGGAGGUACUACCCAUCAAGCAUCUUCCAACCCAGCUUAGAGCAUUUCAGUCUGCCUUCCGAGCUCAGGGGCCCCUGGCCAUACUGGACCACUUCGAUACAAUCUACAGCAUUAUACA
rnacentral:lncRNA from 1 species